AUGGAGGGACAGAAGAGACAGACAGGCAGACAAACAGACAGGCAGACAGACAGAAAGGCUUCUGAUGUCAUACUGUAACAGUCAUCGCCAUGGAACAGAGCGGAUAUAAACCAAGUGUUUCUAUUUUAGAGAGAAUAAGGUGAAUCACCAGCUUGCUUUUAUCAGCGGCACUGUGGCAUCAUCGCCGUCAUCACCGUCAUCAUGCUCAGCAGUCUGACUAGAUGGACAGCAUGCGAACAGAGAUUGUCGUUUAAUUCACGUCUGAACUUUGACUAGGCCGUUCUAACACAUGGGUGGGAUUGGAUCUAAGCCAAGCCACAAACAGCAUCCAACAGCAUGGGUCCUUCACCAUCCCGUUUAUGUCUGGUGGGUUCCAUGUGUUCACCAAGAAAACUGUGAGAGCAUUUGAAAACAGGCGUUAAAGAUCAAAUAGCACCUGCUACAUCUCUUGAUCCACAAGCAUCAACCUAGCCUAAGACGUCAGCGUGACUCUCUGGUC